rnacentral:tRNA from 13 species
GGAGGGGUGGCCGGGGGGCUGAAGGCAGCGGUUUUGAAAACCGCCGAUGGGAAACCAUCCGAGAGUUCGAAUCUCUCCUCCUCCGCCA